CUUCAAUAGCACUUCAUCAAAAUUUCAUUUACAGUAAAUCUAAUUAUCUCAUUUCUUUUUUUUUGAGACGGAGUCUCGCUCUUUCACCCAGGCCGGAAUGCAGUGGCGCGAUCUCCGCUCACUGCAAGCUCCGCCUCCCGGGUUCACGCCAUUCUCCUGCCUCAGCCCCCCGAGUAGCUGGGACUACAGGAUUAUCUCAUUUCUUACAAAAGUUACCCAUGGUGCUGAGAAAACUAGAAACUGGACUGUAGAUGAUGCUUGUUGUGUUUCUACGCAGAAAUUGCAUGGAACUGAACAUGAAUUGCAUUACAAUUGAAACUGUUUCUAAUAUUAUUCACUAAUGGGCAAAUCCAUUACUUUAGGUCCAUUUCUUAUACAAGGAAAUUCAGUUACUCCGAGGACAAUUCAGCUAGCCAAGAGUCCCUGUACAGUGAGCAAUCUUUUGGGGUCUUAUCUUCUCAUCACUGAAGAAUUUCUAUGUGGACACUAAAGUAAUAUUAAAACCACUCACUCUCACAGGUGGCAAGAAGAAAAGUUUAAGAAUUUCAAGUGGCU
rnacentral:lncRNA from 10 species